rnacentral:lncRNA from 1 species
UGUCUCAAUGCAGCACACAGUGCAAACACAAGGCCCAGUUGCUGCUGCUAUUAACAGUAUUGUAUUAUGAUUAUAGUUUUUCCCUAUUUAUCUUUGAUGCCAGAGUGCUUACACUCUGCACCUCUUGGGCCAUAUGGCCUUGUCAUUGUCUUGUAUCUUGCAUCAAUUACUUUUGCAUAUAAAGCUUUUUUCUCUAACACAAUUGCAAUUUGUUUAAAGACUGACUCCCCCUCAGCAGCAAAAAAAUAAGUUCCCAGGAAGUGCUCAGUGAUAUGUGCCUUGCUUCUUUCUAGAUGUUUACCAACAACUGAGCUCUAAUCACAUCUGACUGGCCCAAGGCUAACAAGGAAACUGUUUGACUUUCCAGGCAUCAGUGACCUUCAAUGACAGGCUCUAACCUCCAUUUAGGAAGAGUGAAAGCAGUGGCACCCAGCCCACAGGACUCUGUAUUCAGAGAUGAUGAUGAAGACCUGUAGGCUUCUGGUCUCUGGGUAGAGCCUCCCCUUUCCUUCAUGUGGAAGCCUGAUGCCUCCUUCACUCGGCCCGUUUUCCAAAUCUGUAGGGCACCCUCCUUCCUUCCCAUAGACCUGCUAGGUUCCCAUCUCAUCUCCUACCUGGUCUCUUUGUUUCUCCUCAGAUUAUUUAGGGCAAGAAACAUUCCCUCCCUCAAAAUGGCUCAGAUACUCAAGAAUUUGUUGGAAGUUAAUCGGGGGGUUUUGUAAGAGCUCUCCUCUAAAAAUGUUAAACAGUAAACACAUGGGAGUGACAAGUGAUUAGAUGUGACCUUUGAGACCAGAAUGAUGAAGCAACCAUGAGAAGACAAUGAUGAUGUAAUCAAUAGCUAAUACUUAUUGAAUGCUAUUGAGAGGCCAGG